rnacentral:rRNA from 1 species
UACAGAGGUCUCAAGCGUUUGUUCGGAUUCAUUGGGCGUAAAGGGUGCGUAGGUGGCGAGGUUAGUCAGGUGUGAAAUCUCGGGGCUCAACCCCGAAACUGCACUUGAUACUGCCUUGCUAGAGUACUGGAGAGGAGAUUGGAAUUUACGGUGUAGCAGUGAAAUGCGUAGAUAUCGUAAGGAAGACCAGUGGCGAAGGCGAAUCUCUGGACAGUUACUGACACUGAGGCACGAAGGCCAGGGGGAGCAAACGGG